rnacentral:rRNA from 1 species
GAGUUUGAUCAUGGCUCAGGAUGAACGCUAGCGGCGGGCCUAAUACAUGCAAGUCGAACGGUGCAGCAAUGCAUAGUGGCAGACGGGUGCGUAACGCGUAUGCAACCUACCUUUUAUCGGGGGACAACAUUUCGAAAGAAGUGCUAAUACCGCGUAAGAUAGUAGUGGGACAUCCCACAGCUAUUAAACUUUCGGGGAUAGAAGAUGGGCAUGCGUCUGAUUAGCUAGUUGGCGGGGUAACGGCCCACCAAGGCGACGAUCAGUAGGGGAACUGAGAGGUUGAUCCCCCACACUGGCACUGAGAUACGGGCCAGACUCCUACGGGAGGCAGCAGUAGGGAAUAUUGGGCAAUGGACGGAAGUCUGACCCAGCCACGCCGCGUGCAGGAGGAAGGCGCUCUGCGUUGUAAACUGCUUUAGCAGGGGAAGAAAAGACUCAUGCGUGAGGAAUUGACGGUACCCUGAGAAUAAGCACCGGCUAACUACGUG